CUACGGGACGCAGCAGUGAGGAAUAUUGGUCAAUGGGCGCAAGCCUGAACCAGCCAUGCCGCGUGAAGGAUGACGGCCCUAUGGGUUGUAAACUUCUUUUAUACGGGAAGAAACGCCUCUACGUGUAGAGGUUUGACGGUACCGUACGAAUAAGCAUCGGCUAACUCCGUGCCAGCAGCCGCGGUAAUACGGAGGAUGCAAGCGUUAUCCGGAUUUAUUGGGUUUAAAGGGUACGUAGGCGGAAGAUUAAGUCAGUAGUGAAAUCCUGCAGCUUAACUGUAGAACUGUUAUUGAUACUGGUUUUCUUGAAUGUAGUUGAGGUAGGCGGAAUAAGUAAUGUAGCGGUGAAAUGCUUAGAUAUUACUUAGAACACCGAUUGCGAAGGCAGCUUACUAAGCUAUGAUUGACGCUGAGGUACGAAAGCGUGGGGAGCGAACAGGAUUAGAUACCCCUGUAGUC
rnacentral:rRNA from 1 species